GUAAUUUACACAGCCAGACACCAUGCAAAAGUAAAGUCUUCCUUUUAAGAUGGCUGAUAUGCUGUAUUUUAUGGUAUAUCAUUAUUAGAAGUGAGUACAAAUAAGUGGCUAAGCCUGCCCGAGCUACUGAGUUCUUGCGCAAAACUCUGGUUUUGACCUUCAGGAAACAUUAGUUAAAGUUCAAGCUGAACAUUCAGAAUCGGGCCAGCUCGUAGGUGUGGAUCUGAGCACAGGUGAGCCGAUGGUGGCCGCAGAGAUGGGUGUGUGGGAUAACUACUGUGUGAAGAAGCAGCUGCUACACUCCUGUACUGUGAUCGCCACCAACAUUCUCCUGGUCGACGAGAUCAUGCGAGCUGGGAUGUCCUCUCUGAAGGGUUGAGGCCUGCCUGUGAUACUACAGGAUGUUGGGGGGAAUGGUUAUUUU
ensembl:processed_transcript